GACGAACGCUGGCGGCGUGCUUAACACAUGCAAGUCGAACGGAAAGGCCUUUUCGGAGGUACUCGAGUGGCGAACGGGUGAGUAACACAUGGGUGAUCUGCCCUGCACUCUGGGAUAAGCCUGGGAAACUGGGUCUAAUACCGGAUAGGACCGCACUUUAGUGUGUGUGGUGGAAAGUUUUUUCGGUGUAGGAUGAGCCCGCGGCCUAUCAGCUUGUUGGUGGGGUAAUGGCCUACCAAGGCGGCGACGGGUAGCCGGACUGAGAGGUUGGUCGGCCACAUUGGGACUGAGAUACGGCCCAGACUCCUACGGGAGGCAGCAGUGGGGAAUAUUGCACAAUGGGCGCAAGCCUGAUGCAGCGACGCCGCGUGGGGGAUGACGGCCUUCGGGUUGUAAACUCCUUUCGCCAGGGACGAAGCGUUUUGUGACGGUACCUGGAGAAGAAGCACCGGCUAACUACGUG
rnacentral:rRNA from 1 species